UACGUAGGGUGCGAGCGUUGUCCGGAAUUAUUGGGCGUAAAGGGCGCGUAGGCGGCUAGAUGUGUCAAAGGUGAAAUCCCUCGGCUCAACUGAGGAACUGCCUUUGAAACUGUCUGGCUUGAGGCCGGGAGAGGGUAGCGGAAUUCCCAGUGUAGCGGUGAAAUGCGCAGAGAUCGGGAGGAACACCCGUAGCGAAGGCGGUUCUCUGGGCCGGUACUGACGCUGAGGAGCGAAAGCGUGGGGAGCAAACAGG
rnacentral:rRNA from 1 species